AUUGAACGCUGGCGGCAGGCUUAACACAUGCAAGUCGAGCGGAGAUGAGGUGCUUGCACCUUAUCUUAGCGGCGGACGGGUGAGUAAUGCUUAGGAAUCUGCCUAUUAGUGGGGGACAACAUUCCGAAAGGAAUGCUAAUACCGCAUACGUCCUACGGGAGAAAGCAGGGGAUCUUCGGACCUUGCGCUAAUAGAUGAGCCUAAGUCGGAUUAGCUAGUUGGUGGGGUAAAGGCCUACCAAGGCGACGAUCUGUAGCGGGUCUGAGAGGAUGAUCCGCCACACUGGGACUGAGACACGGCCCAGACUCCUACGGGAGGCAGCAGUGGGGAAUAUUGGACAAUGGGGGGAACCCUGAUCCAGCCAUGCCGCGUGUGUGAAGAAGGCCUUAUGGUUGUAAAGCACUUUAAGCGAGGAGGAGGGCUACUGA
rnacentral:rRNA from 1 species